UACGGAGGGUGCGAGCGUUAAUCGGAAUUACUGGGCGUAAAGCGCGCGUAGGUGGUUUGGUAAGUCGGAUGUGAAAGCCCCGGGCUUAACCUGGGAACUGCAUUCGAUACUGCCUUACUGGAGUGUGGUAGAGGGUAGUGGAAUUCCAGGUGUAGCGGUGAAAUGCGUAGAUAUCUGGAGGAACAUCAGUGGCGAAGGCGGCUACCUGGACCAACACUGACACUGAGGCGCGAAAGCGUGGGGAGCAAACAGG
rnacentral:rRNA from 1 species